AGUGAACGCUGGCGGUAGGCCUAACACAUGCAAGUCCAACGGCAGCACAGUAAGAGCUUGCUCUUACGGGUGGCGAGUGGCGGACGGGUGAGGAAUACAUCGGAAUCUACUUUUUCGUGGGGGAUAACGUAGGGAAACUUACGCUAAUACCGCAUACGACCUACGGGUGAAAGCAGGGGAUCUUCGGACCUUGCGCGAUUGAAUGAGCCGAUGUCGGAUUAGCUAGUUGGCGGGGUAAAGGCCCACCAAGGCGACGAUCCGUAGCUGGUCUGAGAGGAUGAUCAGCCACACUGGAACUGAGACACGGUCCAGACUCCUACGGGAGGCAGCAGUGGGGAAUAUUGGACAAUGGGCGCAAGCCUGAUCCAGCCAUACCGCGUGGGUGAAGAAGGCCUUCGGGUUGUAAAGCCCUUUUGUUGGGAAAGAAAAGCAGCAGGUUAAUACCCCGCUGUUCUGACGGUACCCAAAGAAUAAACACCGGCUAACUUCGUG
rnacentral:rRNA from 1 species